rnacentral:rRNA from 1 species
GAUAAACAUUAAGCCAUAAGCGAAAGCUUGACUUAGCCAGGGUUAAAUAGAGCCGGUAAAACUCGUGCCAGCCACCGCGGUUAUACGAGAGGCCCAAAUUGACGCAGCACGGCGUAAAGUGUGAUUAGAGACAAACCCCUACUAAAGCCAAACGCCCCCUAUGCUGUCAUACGCCAUGGGGAGAACGAAGCCCAACAACGAAAGUGGCUUUAUAAAUCUUGAACUCACGACAGCUAAGACACAAACUGGGAUUAGAUACCCCACUAUGCUUAACCUUAAACCAAGGCGAUUAGACCUACAAACCUCGCCCGCCAGGGGACUACGAGCGUCAGCUUAAAACCCAAAGGACUUGGCGGUGCCUCAAACCCGCCUAGAGGAGCCUGUCCUAUAACCGAUAAUCCUCGUUAAACCUCACCCUUCCUUGCCAAUUCCGCCUAUAUACCGCCGUCGCCAGUUUACCUUGUGAAAGAUCAACAGUAAGCAGAACGGGCAACACCCAACACGUCAGGUCGAGGUGUAGCGAAUGGAGGGGAAAGAGAUGGGCUACAUUUUCUGAUAACAGAACAUUACGAAAAAUGCAAUGAAAAAUGCACAGAUGAAGGUGGAUUUAGCAGUAAAAAGAAAAAAGAGAGUUCUUUUGAAUCUGGCUCUGAGGCGCGUACACACCGCCCGUCACUCUCCUCGAAUAAAAAGAAACAAUACAUAAAGACUAGAAAAAUAGAGAGGAGGCAA